GGAUGGGUGGCCGAGCGGUUUAAGGCACCGGUCUUGAAAACCGGCAGGCCUGUGAGGGUCUCGUGGGUUCGAAUCCCACCCCAUCCGCCA
rnacentral:tRNA from 1 species